rnacentral:tRNA from 1 species
GGGAAUAUGGCUUAGUGGUAGAGUGCUUGCCUCACAUACAUGAAGCCUGGGUUCAAUCCCUUAGUACCA